rnacentral:lncRNA from 1 species
AAAAAAAAAUUGAGAGAAUUUGUAAGUAUUUAUGUAAAUAAAAAAGGAUAAAGUAAAAUGGCAAGUAACGAACUGGCUCAGAAACUGAUGGGUCCAAAUAUCGGGUAUUAUAUAACACCGACAGAUAAAGGAAUCAUGACGAGUCUUUUCAUCCGUGGGAGGAUAAAAAUGGUACGUCAGGUUAUAAAAGGAAUGAAAAAGGAAGGGUUUACAUUAUUAAGAAAAGCAACGACUCCGACUUUUCAUCAUAUGGUUCUUCAUACGUUGGGAGGUACGAGACCGAUAUCACACGAUGUAAUAUUUCACUACGUGGAUUUUAUCGGAGUGCAGGGUGAUUUUUCUCACCUUAUUUCGUACGAAGAAACGUUCUUGAAGAAAUUAACGAAAAUGAAAGAAUCGGAUCGUCCAAUUCUCCCGGGAGUGGAAACGAUCGUGUUUAGAAAAAUAGCACGCCAUCUCGGUUACACGGAUGUCUGAGUUUUUUUUAAAAAAAUUUUCCAUACUUGUUCAAAGUAUUGAAAAAUUUUUUUUAUUUAUAUGAAUGUGUAAGUAUAAUAUAAAUGGCAGAUAGUAACCUGGAUUUCUACGACCGUCCUCGGGUAGAAAAUAUCCGGUCUGUUCGCGAGGAAAUUAGCGCUCCUUCUCCUGUUACACAAAGACCGCAGAGUUUUAGAAAAAGUAUAAAGUCUGCAGCGAAAGAAUUUGAGGAUCGUCGGAAACAGCAUAGGAAGGAAGAAAGGCGAUGGAAACCGACCAAAAGAGCGACGGCACAGAAACUUAGCGACGAAAAAAAAUGGGAAAAACAUAUUGAGAAAGAGGAGAAAAGACUUCGUAAGGAAGUAUUUCACUGGAAAUCCGAAGCUCAGAAAUGGAAAAAGGAAACACAAAGACUUCGUAAAAAUGAAAGGGCACGUCAAAAAUAUGCGGAAGUUCGUUACCGUAAAUUAAUGUCGGGCGAGAUGAGAAUUCGCGGCGAAGAUUUUACACCCGUUUUACAACAGCAUGCAUUUCGAAGACGUGCCCAAAAGUAUACGAUCACCC